rnacentral:lncRNA from 1 species
UCCCUACCGAUUCCUCAUCUCUCCCAGCUAAAAGGGUGCCGUGGUAACUUUUUUGGGGGAGGGACUGACUUGGUCUGGAUUGGGACACAAAUUGCCCAUGAGGGGAUCUCUGACGUGCCAAAGACGGUGCUUGUAAACCAAAAAAGAAGAAAGAGAGCAGCGAAAAACCCAUUAAGAGGAACACGAAAAAGCGCCAUAGUGAAGCCUUUCCAAGACGUCUCAGGAAACCCGUCACGGCCUGUGAAUUCGGAGAAGGGGAGAAGACCCUUCUGGAUCCACCUUCGCAAUUACCAGAAAGUGCAGACACAGUCCCUGAAAUACGGAGCAGUUUGUGCUGUCCUUUGCUUAACAAUCUUGGUCCCACCUUACCCCCCCUUAAUCAUCCCCUUGCGGGCAAGUGCGAAUCAUAUAAAGGUCUCCCCGUCUCCGGCGUCUCCAACAUCGCCUUCGGACUCCUUUCGUCUUCUGCUGUUCAGCUUCUUCAGCCCUUGGACCUCCUCCAGGAUGUCGGGCAGAUUUGUUGGCAUGAACCUCUUUGAUGUAAUUUAUGAACAAUACCCAUCUUAUACUGUGCAACUUCCAGGCUCAAUUAGAUUUCCUAGAUUUGUGCCGAUGUCCAGGGUAGAGGGAUCCAUCAUUAGNNNNNNNNNNNCGCUUUUGAGGAACCCUCAAGUCCCGCUCAGAGGGAUCCGGAACGAUGGGGCUCCUUUGUCUUCCACGGAGAAGGAGGCGGCAAAAGGGCCUGGCGAAACCCUGAGACGAACAGCGAGCCUUCCUCUCUCCCGGAUCCCUUCCCUCCAUCCCAGCCAAGACCACCUCCUUUUUCGCCCUUCUCUCUCUCUCUCUCUCCGGCCAUCUGAAGAGCGUCUCCUCAAGGGAAAGGCUGCCUUGCCUGCUUGUUUUCAGGGUGAAGCUUCUCCAGCGUCUUCCUUCCCAAUAAAGCUUGACUUCCGGCAUCGCACAACGGCCUCCCGUGGUUUUGUCUCCUCCACCCCAGGACCCCCACA